rnacentral:ribozyme from 12 species
AAACAGAAUGUAUUUGAAUUUGAAUUUGUGUGUGAGAUAUAUAUAAGGAGUAAAAAAGAAAGAAAGAUAGAAAAAAAGAGGAUGGAGCAGUAAGUAAUAUUCCUUUAUCCCAGCUUUUGGAUCAAUCGUGUUUCCAAACACAAACACCAACAAACAACAACCCCCCUUCGGAUGAAUCGGCCCAUGAACAAAUACAAAU